CAACUUAUAAAAAAUUGAACGUAACUUUUAUAUAAGCAAAAUCAAAUUUUACCUAUAUUAUUUUUAGCCAAAUUGGCUAAGUUUAGAGAGAGAGAGAAAAGAGAAAGCCAGGAACUGAUAAAGAAAAGCUGUGUAUAAUAAGAAACUUAGCAUCAAUUGCAGCCUUCGUUUUCUUUAGCAAUUCAGUGACCUUCCCUGUCCUCCGUUUUCGUUCCAUUACAUCUCCUUCUUUCUCUAAAAGAAUUACCAAGCUACAUGUACAAGCUUAAGCUUCCUUAGUUUUGGCUGUGACAUAAAGAGAUUGCUAAGAAUUGGAAAUUGUAAACUGAUUGUUAAGAAUCAAAAUCAGCAACAAAAAGAAGAGGAUGGAUAACAUCUAAAGAACUCCUCAUAGCACAAGUAAGUUAUGCAUUCAAGUUCUUAUGAAAUUGGUUAUGGUUAUAUAGCUAAUUUUUAACUGACUAUAACCGGAAUAUGAAUCAUGAGUAAUUAAAUCAUGUAUAAAAUUAUAUUAUUGCAUAUUGAAUAUAUGAGAAUCAGGAAUUCAAAUUUUGAAGACUGAGUAAACUAGUUAGUUUACUAAUUACUUGAUUAUAUAUAAGUUCGAUGUUGUAAUAGACUGUUAUGGAUCUGAAAUAGAGCAAAGGAGUUUAAGUUGGCUGUGUGAAGAUAUUAGGAGGCUAACAUGGGAUUAUAGCACAAAGAAAUAGCUAUGAUGGGAGGAUUUUAAAACAGUGCACACAUAGUGCUUGAUAAAAUUCCCCAAUGGACUGUUUUGAUUGCAAAUCAAAAAUUAGACGAAACCAAAGUUUGGGAUAGGUUUAAAUAUUGUAUACGGUGAUAAUUAAAGAGUUUGGGUGAAGUAAAUUAAAGAGGAAGCAAUUUUAAGCCAAAACGAAAAAUUUAAAAGUUAGUGUGUACUUUUGGCUACUGUCUCGGCUCGUUAGACUUGUUAGAAAAUUUUAAGUUUCUGGGGUCUAGUAGUGUGCAAUCCCAGCUAGCCAUAGCCUCCGGAAUGGACUCGUUCCGAGUUCGGGCGAUCAAGUUAUGUCGUGCCAAAGUGGGUGCGUCGAAUCUGUCAAAAAUCUGGAAAACAGAUUCGAAGCAGCCCCUUGCACGAAUUUUCUGCAAUUUUAUGUUACGAAUUUGAAAAUGGUCAAAGAAUAAAAGUUGUAGCCCCGGAAGUUAGCUUCGCGUGGGCUCAAGAAGCGCUCAAAAAUGUUUUGAAACGAAAAAGUUAUGACUGUUUUAGCGAGAAAGGGUAAAACUGCAAAAAAGUUAAAAACUAUUAUGGAGGGGCAUUUUCGAGGCCUGUUAUGGGCUGGCUAAAAGACCCAAAAUGGGUGGUUUGUAUUUUUUUAAAAAUAGUCUACUAUGGUGUUUAUAUCAUGUUCAAAAAUGAGCGCAAUCCAACAAGCGAGUUAGGAGUUAAAAAGGUCGCAAAGUUGGCGUCAAGCCAUGGGGGCUGCUGCCCAGCAGCAGCAGCACAGCGGCAGUAGCAGCCACAAUUGGGCUAUGCCUAGUUGUGGCCUGUUUUGGUUCCGCGAUGCGUUUGCUUGGUUUUUAACGAUUGUGUUUAUAACUUAGCAUCGAAAUAAAUGUAUAAAUAUAGUAUAAUAACUAUAUAAUGUUAACUCAUUUAAUAUAAAAAGAAGCGAUAAAAGUUGUAUGUAAAUGCAAGUUUACAUAUAUAUGUGAAAUCUAUUCGGGUGUAUGGAAUCUAUAACAUAUUCAAAUUCAAUGUAAUUGAAUUAGUAAUAUAGAGGAUGAAAGCUAAGCUUGGGAUUGUUAAAGCCAAGCAAGGGGCUGUUUUGGCGUCAUGUUGAAACACGAUAGUAUUUAACGAGUUAGUAUACGGGAACGAAACUAUAAAUUAUUAUAGAAGCUAUUAAACUGAAUUGGGAGUUAGUUUCAGCAAUUAGCAACUGAGGUAAGAAAUAUAAUAUUAUUUAUUGUCCACAAAGGAAUUGAAGUUGAAAUUUUAUCAAGAAAAUAAGGUGAGCUCUAUUUUUAAAAAGUGUUGCGCGUGUUAUGUUUGAUAUUAGCAAGUGUAAAAAAUUAAAAUAAAUUGUUUAUAAAUUUAAGAAAUGAUUAAAAUAUUAUGGUAAUAUUAAUAAUAUUAGAUUAUGAGAUUAUUAAUUGAUUUAUGAAUCUUACUCUUGAGAUUAAAUCUAUAUGUUGAUUAUAUUGUUUUUAUUAUCAUAUAUAACAUUCUUAUAACCCUAAAGAUGAUAUUUCUCUUUGACUUGAGUAUAAAGAUGAGUAGAUUAUUGGUAUGAUCGUGACUAUGGGUUCUCUUUGGCCAGUAGUGCAAAGAUGAAUUGUUGACUAGUGUGAUCAUGACCAUUGAAUUUAUAAUUGAAUAUCUUUAGCUUAAGUGCAAAGGUGAAUUGAUCAACAUGGUUAUAAUUAUUGGUUAUAUAAAUUUUGAAAUGAUUAUGUAUUUCUUUGAGAUAUUAAUAUCUUUGGCCGGUAGUGCAAAGAUGAAUUGUUGAUGAAUAUCUUUGGCCCGUAGUGCAAAGAUGACCUGUUGUUGAAGUGCAAAGAUGACCUGUUGUUGAAUAUCUUUGGCCUGUAAUGCAAAGAUGAACUGUUAAUGAAUAUCUUUGGCCCGUAGUGCAAAGAUGAAUUUAUUAGUAUGAUUAUGAACAGGAACUGUGAUUUGGUAUAACCAUAAUAUUUGAUGUUUCAGGUAAAGACAGGUGAUAAAAAUUAUCUUCGUCCUAGAUGAGAAGAGGAAUUUAGAAUCACAAUUAUGAUUAUUAGUUAUUAAUAUGAUUGUGGAAAGGAACUGUUGAUUGAUGUUACAGAGAUAAAAUAUUAUUGGUGGACUUUUAAUGUGGAGAAGAUAAUAGACUUUAUGGUCUAUUUGACUCUUCUAAUGAAUUGCUCGUUCCGCUGCAACUAUGGUUGAAAAGUUUUAUCAUCUACCAUAUGUUCUAAAUCUCUGAUUUAUUACUGAUAAAGGCUAUUGAUAAUUUAGUUAUCUUUAGUCAUGAUAUUCUUUACUGAGCUAGUUGUGCUCACCCUUUUGCUUCACAAUUUCUUUCAAGUAAUAAGGGUGUUGCCGAGUCGAGUGGGGAAUAGAACGGUGGUCUAUAGCUGUUGAGGUUCUCCGUAAAUAGUAUGGAAAUAAUUUUGUUGAGAACUUUAGAUAAGUGUGUCGUAUUGUAUACGUCAUUUGAUAUUUAAUUUUGGUGAACCGAAUAGGGUGAGGUGAACCCAACUUUGGAAGGGUGUUUUGCCACUAUCAUACAAGAUGUCUAAUGACAUGCAACCUCGUGUUAUCAUAAGACAGGGUUGUGCGCAUCCACUUGCUGAGUAUAUCUACGAACACUACCUAUAUAAUCUUGGAGUUUGAUUAAAAUAUAAUUUUCAAUUGCAGACAGUGGAGAUAGUUAUAUGUCAAGAGAAGACUCACCAUUGGAAAGAACAUGAUAGUAAUCUUCUUGUUUUUCUUUGGGGUCUAUUGGGUCAACCAAGAAUAAUUCUCGAGUCAUAUGAUAUCUAUCAUAACCUAGACGCAUAGCCUCCCAUGUACGAAGGUUUCCUUGAGCACUUCUCAAAGAUUUUAAUUUCUAAAACAGUUAUUGACUGUACCUUUAUGUAAUGUAUCAAUUUAAGGUGAUGUCCAUAGUUGGGACAUGAGUCACAGUUGGUAUUAAAACUCACAGUAUAUGUGUUGUUGUAUUUUGCACGACAAUUGUAGUAAUAAAGUUGUAGUUGUUUUCUGUACCAUGUAUUUGGCGACUCAGAAUAUGUUGGAUGGAUUGGACCUAUUUUGGGGGCAUCACAACAGUAGUUAUUACACAAUGAUUCAUAUUAUUGAUUCUUAAUUACGUAAGAAGUCACUCAAUCUUUCAUUCAAUAAUUGUCACAGUAGUUAUUGCACAGUGACUCAUAUUAUUUGAUAUGAUAUAAUUAAAUCAGUUAGCAGUAUUGUGAGUCUAUAUUAAUAAUUGUGAAUAAUUGUUGAAAGAUUGAAAAUGUGUAAAUAAUUAAUGAAUAAAAGGUGUUGAUUAAAGAUAAGUAUGAUAUACAGAUGUUUGUUCAAUUAUUUUCUUUUUACAAAAGUAAGUUUGGCAGGACUUGCCAACACUCUACUUUUCUUAAAGUAAUAUGGACCACAACUCUAUUAUUGAACAAAUGUUAUUAAAAUGUGUACAAGUUGGUUUUCUCUAUGGGACCAUAAAUUCCACUACCAUUAUUAUAUACCUCAUUCGGUUAUUUUGUCAAAGAGGGUGUGCUAGUUGUUUACUAAAUUUUUAGUAUAAAUAGGCUGCCUAAUUGAGCAACUGACACACCAUCACUACACUAAAAAUAUAGAAUUCUUUUACUACAAUAUUGUGAGUAUAAUAUUGUGAGUAUUUUUAUUGAGUAUAAUGUUACUCCAAGUGUAGAUAAGGAAUGCAAGCAUUGUUUAAGUUGAUCAAUUUCAUAGAAAGCAGAAUCAAGUCACAUGCUAAGGUAAUGGAUAUUAUUAUUGUGGUAAAAGGGUAUCAUUUUUAUGAUAAAAUGAAUAUCAUUUUCUUUCAUACUCCAUAUUAUGGAAAGAUAUUAUUAUUCGUUUAUUUAGUUUAUCAUUAAAUGGUGAAAAGUCCUGAAAGGAUUAGAAUAUCCUUAAUAGUUUGUGCUUCAUCUAAUAUUAUGUUAGCAAUUUGGACUUUGGAUAAUUAAGUUAAAAAUCACUAAGAUUUAUGUUAUCUUAUUAUUCUGAUUAUUUAUGUUUAUUCAUUAUAUAUAUCAUUGUCAUCAUCCUCAUGCUUAUAUUGUGAUGAAAGUCAUCUUUGGCCAUAGUGCAUAGAUGGACUUGGUACGAUUAUGACCAGGGAUUAUUCGGUAUAAUCAUGACCGUAAUGUUACAAAUGAUGUGGUAAAAGUCAUCUUUGGCCCGUAGUGCAUAGAUGGACUUGGUAUGAUUAUGACCAGGGAUUAUUCGAUAUAAUCAUGACCGUAAUGUUACAAAUGAUGUGGUAAAAGUCAUCUUUGGUCCGUAGUGCAUAGAUGGACUUGGUAUGAUUAUGACCAGAAAUUAUUCGGUAUAAUCAUAACCGUAAGUGAAAACACGAAUAUCUUUGGCCCGUAGUGCAUAGAUAAUUCGUGGUCGUGAUACUAUUGAGCUGAGUCUCAGCGUUAUUGAUUUUACAGUUUUAUGUCUUAGGCUUGUAUUGCAAAGAUGGACUGUUGAUUUACCUGAUUAUAAAUAUGAAUUGUGAAUUUAAUUAUAAUCUGUGGUGGUUCAGGUGAUGAGAGUUCUUUUUGUCUUGGGUAUAACAAAGGACUGUUGAUGAGUAUUACAGGAAUGAAAUAUUAACAAUGGACUUUUAAUCUAGAGGAGAUAGUAGACAUUAUGUUCUACUUGACUCUUCUAAUGGAUUGUUGAUUCCGCUGUUAUUAUGGUUGAAAACUUUUAUCUUCUACCAUAUGUUCUAAAUAUCUUAAUUCUUUUGAUAAUUUAAUUAUCUUAAGUCAUGAUAUUCUUUAUUGGGCUAUUUGUGCUCACCCUUUUACUUCACCACCCCUUUCAGGUAAUAAAAGUAUAGUUGGAACUAGCAGAGAGAACAUGAGUAUAAAGUGGUGAUACGAAUUAGUCACAAACCUAAUCAAAUUAUGAAACGGUGUGGCAUAAUAAUUGUACUGAGAACUAAAAAUGUGUGUGACAUAUUUUAUAUAUCAUUUAAUAUUUAAUUUUGGUGAACAAUAAUAGGAUGAGGUGAACUCAAAUUUAGAAGCGUCAAAAAUGCACUCCAUUAGAAUGAGGAGGACAAAAAUCUUCUCGUGUUCCUUUGGGGACUUGAUGUGACGACCCCAAAUUCAGACCUCCACUUGGUUACUCAAAUUCGGUUCAUCACGUGCUCAAAGUAUUACCAUAAUAACUAAAAUCAUACAUUCACAAUGGAAAAUCUAAAUUAGAAUAAUGUACAAUGAUUUUUUAUAAUUAUUCCCCCAAGUCUCGCAACCUACAGUACAUAAUAGUAUCGAAUAAAGACCUAUUACAUAAUCCUACUUAAGUUUAAACAUCAUUUGAAAAUAGUCUUAACACAGCAUGAUAGUUUUAACAUAAAAGGGACAAGCUAGUCGGUAGCCUUGCCCUUGCCCUUGCCCUUGUUUGUUCCAGAGACACCUCCCUGUUCCUCCUUAACUGAAAGGUUUUAAAUAAGCAAGGAUGAAUACAAAUUGCCCAGCAAGUAAUAUAUAACAAGGGUAAAGAGUUUUAUAACACGAGUUUGAAAUAUCUAAGUAUCAUCUCUAAGAUAGUUCAGAGUUUCAGAAUAAUAUCAUGAAAAAUGAAUAUCAAUAAUUCUCGAAAUAAGAACGAUAAUUCAAUAUAAAUCAUCAGAUAUAUAUGAAUUCAACGACUAUCAAUGUAUCCAACUGGAAAAACAAUUCAUACUGAGCAAUCACUAAGGACUAUUGAACAUCUACUAGAAUUACCAAUAUUAAAUUGAUAACCCAAAAGAAUCAAGUACUAUAGAUGAUCAGUCUACAAUACUCUAAGUUAUACAUAACACCACAAUAAUAAACCACUCAUGUGUUGGGGUUUCCAACAACAUACACUCCCCUUACCAUAAGGGUUGUUCAACUCAGUUUUCAAGAUUUCCGCAUCAAUCAAUUGGUUUGGACAGUUUUAUAAACAUGCAUAUAGUCUAGCCGAAUCAAAUGGCAUCGACCCUUUCAUAAUAUUCAAGAACCAAGUUCAACAUGAAUAAUAGUUUUCACAAGAGUCUAAGCAUACUUGUUCGAUUGAAUUAAUAAAUAGAAUAACCUGCAUUCAAAGAGAUAAGGUUUAGAUACUCUUACGGUAUUCGUUGAAUAAAGUAAUGCAAAGGUUUAGGAUACUUGUCUUAAACGUAGUUUACCAAAAUACCGCUUAUCAAUACAAUUUCGAAUCCUAACAUAAUGUGAUACGCUUAUAGGACAUUCAUUAGUUAAACAUAUUCGAUAAACAAUCUUGAUAAAUAUAGUCCAAGUGUACACACACAACUCAAUCAAGAAACCUUAUACGUAUGUUAUUACGUAGCUCGGAUCUAUCGUUAGACUUCAUCAUUUUAAAACACUUUGUCAAUUCAAGCUAAGAUAGGUGUUAACAUGUAAAGCUACCUUUGUCAGUGUGUCAUGAACAAACAUAAUCAUAAUGAAGUUAUACUAACAUGCUACAUACUUCAGAAAUCACAGAAGUUACUUUCCAAGUUUGCAGAAUGGCGCGGCCGCGCCUGAUUUGUACUAAGGAGACGCGCGGUCGCGCGGCUCCCAGUUCAAACCAGGACUGAGCAACUAUUUUCUUGGCCUAGCUUGCACAUCCUUAUAUACAUAACACAUAUUAACAUGUUAAGGGUCCUUUCGCAUUUUCCUAGUUUAAUCUAGGUCCCGUUUUGCAUAAUAUGGUCCUAAGUUUGGACAUCUCACAAUUUAAGGCCAUUAAAGGUUAUGAAAUAACAAAGUCCAACAUGCUUGAUUUUUAAACAUUUAUAUAACUCAUAUUAGACAUGCUUGUGAGUAUUUAUAUCACAUAUGUGUAUUUAACAUCGUUUUGUUUUGAAAUAUGCUUCGUUUAUGAUUUCCUUGAAUUACGAUACCUAAGCAUGGUAUAUAUACAUUUAUGAUACAUAAGUGCGUCUAAGGGUAUCAUCUAACAUGUUCAUAAUCAUCAUAUUCUAACUUUCAAAGUAGUACAUUAACAUUCACGUUCAAAGUUCGCAUUUUCAUUAGCAAAGCUUACUACUAAAUCCAACAUAAUCAUGUUUCACUAUGAAAUCCAUAUACUUAAGUUAGUAUGUCCAACACGUAUUUCAAAACCAUACUAACAUGCUUGCAAGAUCAGAAUGUGCAUUACUUCAACUUCAGGAUUUCUAGUUUUCCAAAUCUUGAAGUUUUCUUAAAAACCUAACUUAAAUCAAGCUAAAACAACGUGUUAUAUUCAAAACAAUAUCUAACCACAUGCUAGGGUUAUUUAUAUGCUUAACCUAAUUAUCAUUGCAUGCUUAGAACAAAUCAGAAACCUCAAAUCAUUAUCUAAGGAAAACACCACGCGCGGCCGCGCGUUAUUAGCCUAUGGAAAUGGCGCGGUCGCGCCACUUCGAGCAGACUGAAAAAAAAUGGCUUUGCUUCUGCAGAGCCUUAUCACAUGAGAUGCAAAACCUGCAACCAGACCAGCUACCAUGUUCCAAAACAUGUGUACCAACUCAAAUAACAUAAUGGCAUGCUAUUCUACAUCAAUUAAUAGAGAAUUUCAUACAAUUGCAAGAAUUUGACCAAUUUCAAAAUUAAGAACAUGAAAAUAGAAAUGUUACCUCUUGAAGCUUAAAUGAAUCCUUCAAAGUACUAACUUAUGGCUCAACUACUUCCCUCUCACUGAAUACUUAUCAGGCAAUCUCAGCAACAAGAAUGAGAAGAAGGGUAACUAUUAUUUAUAGAUGAACACAAAACCAGACAAUUGUUUUGCUCUAUGGUUUGAACCCAAGGAUUGUAGAAUUGCAUGAAGUAUAAGAAGGAGUUGGUAAUUGGUUGGUAAUUUGCAUCAUGACCACCAUUCCCCCAUGAUCAUUAGCUAGGAAGCUUGGAACAAGAAAUAGUGUGAAAUCCCGAAUUUAUGAAAUAAAAGUAUUCAAUUUUUCUAUUUUGGUAAAUAGUUAAAUUGAUAAAAGGUUAAAGUUAAGGGUGAUAUUUAAAAAUUUUGCAAAGUAAGCAAGUUAUCAUAAAUAAUCGGUGAUAAAGGUACAGUAAUACGCGUGGUUGCAUAGUAGCACACGGUAUUGAUUAUUGAUGCUUACGUAAGAAGUCACUCAAUAUACUCAAUUAUUGCUACAAUAAUUGCAGCAUCACAUCUCUCAUAUUAUUGAUUCAAUUAUUGUCACAGUAUCAUCUGCAUAAUAUGUUAUAUUAUUAAAUCAAUAAUUGAGACGACAAAGUUAUUCAUAUUAUUAUUUGCAAUAUUGACAAUGUCUAGAAGUUCUGUCAAGGAGAGGUUUGGUCACCUAAUUGCGCGCCAAUAAGGAGAAAUCCUUAUCGGAAAGCCCCCUCUUUCCUGGGAACGACCUGGUUGUUAAAUAUUGUGAGUUAUAAUAUUAAUGAUGAAUAAGUUCGUGUUGAUUAAAGAUGAAAUUGAUAGUUCCAUUGUGUUGGAAUUAUUAGUGUUAGUGAAAAUCGACAUUUAUUUCGAUAAUAAUUGAUGUCUGGAGGUUAUAUUGACCAAUCGGGUAAUUAAUCGGAUAAAUGAGCAAUUAAUUGCUAUUAAUUCACAUGAUUAUAACUAUUUGUUCACAUGUGUGUACUAUUGAUUCACAUUCUUGUACUAUUAGGGGAGUUGGUGCAAGAUUGAUAAUACUUGCAUGACUAAGUUAAAAAUGGAGGUAUAGAUGGAGGUACUAUACUGUAAUUCGUAUUUUCACAUGAUUAUAACUAUUGAUUCACAUGAUUGAACUAUUGAUUCACAUUAUUUACUAUUAGGGGAGGUGGUGCAAGUUUGAUAAUACUUGCAGGACUAAAUUAAAAAUGAAGAAAAAGAGGAAGGUAUUAUACUGUAAUAUUUCGAGCCCCAAAACGUGCAAUUAUCGAAACUAUAUUUUCCUAUAAAUAGAAGCUCAUUCUUCCUUCAUUUCUCACCAAUUCACUAAAGCUAUAGAGCAAUUAUUAUAGAGAGAAAUUAUAGAGAGAAAGAAGAAGAGAAGUCUGCUACCUCUCUACUCCAGUAUCCAGUUUCUUUCUAAGGUAAGGGGUAUUAUUUCUUUCGUAUUCAUGAAGAGAGCUGUUGUUAUUCCAUUCUUUAUUAUUAUGUUGGAAUAACCUGUCUAUGCGAAGUACCGCAUACAUGGUGAAAUUCUUCUGUUAUUCCAUUCUUUAUUAUUCUGUUGGAAUAUCCUGUCUGUGCGGAUUACGCUAGACCUGGUUCCAUUCUUUAUUAUUCUGUUGGAAUAACCUGUCUGUGCGGUCUAUCGCAUGCAUGGUGAAUUCUUCUGUUAUUCCAUUCUUUAUUAUUCUGUUGGAAUAUCCUGUCUGUGCGGAUUACGCAUGACCUGGUUCCAUUCUUUAUUAUUCUGUUGGAAUAACCUGUCUAUGUGGAUUAUCACAUGCAUGGUGAAUGAUCCUUCGUAUUCAUUCCUUAUUAAAUUGUGGAAAUGAUCUGUCUACGUGGAUUACCGCAUGGCGGGUGAAAAUCCAUUUGCAGUUUCAUAUAUUCUAUGAUACUCAUUUGGUUAAAGUUUUGGCUUCUAUACUCCAUGAAAUUAGUAGAAUAUCCUGGAUAUUUGCGCUUCAUCCGGUAUCUUUUCAUGGAAAUAUUCUUCUGAGCAUUCUUGAAUUUUACUCCACAAAGCAGUAUCAUGUUGACAAUUUGGACGUAAUUGAUUUCAAGAUAAAUUAACUUAUAAAUCUUUAAAAUUUAUUCUUGAACUUGUUUUAUUGAAUUAUUAUGUCAUUGUCAUCAUCCUCAUGCUUAUAUUGUGAUGAAAGUCAUCUUUGGCUUACGUGCAUAGAUGGACUUGGUAUGAUUAUGACCAGGGAUUAUUCGGUAUAAUCAUGACCUGUAAUGUUAUAAAUGAUGUGGUAAAAGUCCUCAGUGGCCUGUAGUGCAUUGAUGGACAGUUUUUGGUAUGAUUAUGACCAGGGAUUAUUCGGUAUAGUCAUGACCAUUGAUGAUUUAAUGAAUAUCCUUGGCCCGUAGUGCAGGGAUGACUCGAUGAUGUGGUUUAUUUAUUAAGCUGAGUCUCAGCGAUAAAAAUUGAUGAAAACAUUUUAAAUCAUAGAAGAUAGUAGAUAUCAUGCUCUACUUGACUCUUCUAAUGGAUUGCUUAUUCCGCUGCAGUUAAACUUGAUGUCUAUUGUAUUUUAUCAGUUUAACAUUGUUGAAGACUAAUGAUAAUUUAUUCUGCAUUAUCUUAGUCAUAAUAUUUCUUACUGGGCUAGUUGAGCUCACCCUUUCUUUCACUGUUCUCUUCAGGAAAUGAGAACGUAGCCGGGACUAGUCGGGGAACGGAGUGACGGUCCAGAUGAUAGCAUUAGUAGUCCUCACUAUUCUGUUAAAUAGUGUGACAAUAAAUGUAAUGAGGACUCCAUUGAGUGUGGAUAUUGUCUAGAUGACAAUUUUCUUGUUUAAAUUCUCAACUAUGUUUUGUCGUAUUUUACACGACUGUUGUAUAAUUAAGUUGUAUUUGAAUUUAUGUACCAUGUAUCUGGCGACUCAAGAUGGGUGAUGUAUACCUGUUUUGGGGGCGUCAUAAAUAGGCUUAGCCUUUUUGGAGAAAUACGUAUAAUAGCUUUUGAGUUACUAUUCAUGUACUUGGUGACAUUCAUUUUGGGACAAAAGAAACUAUCAGCAACAUGCUUAGCAUCACUCUCAUAUUGUUACCUUGUUAUCCAAAAAUACCAAAAUAUAAAUUUUAAUGUGUUAAUGCUACUGCACAAUGGAGAGUUAGGGAUUAUUUAUGUACUCACAUCAUAUAAUCCAUGUACAUUAGUCCAGUUUAAUUAUUAUAUGUAUGAACUCCAUUUAAUUACCCACUAGUAAUUAAUAUCUCCUUAAAACUUUAUUAUUUCAAGUAGACUCACUUAUUGAAAUAAUUUAUAAUUCUUUGACAGAAUAUAUCUUUUAACAUUUUCACUCAUACUUAUUGUCACAUAAAUAAUUGUUUAUGUAACUUAUAAUUCCUUACACUUUAUUAUAUAGUUUAUAUAUAUUACAUAGCCAUACUAAUGUGUCACACCACAUCUUCUUAUUAAUUGUAAGAAUUAUAUAAUAUCACAUGUCUUCAUAAAUUAAAUAAAUCAUACAAUUCUAUUCAUUGUUCACUGUAUAUAUCCAUUAAUUCUUAUUACAUUUUCUAACAAUAAUAAUCAUAUAUUAUUAAUUAACUACCAUUAUUAAUUAAUCAAUAUUCUACCACAAACAUUAUCAAUUAAUUAAUAUAACAAUUAAUUAUCACAUAUUAAUUAACCCUCAUUAACAUCAAUUAACAAUCCAUAGUAUACUACAACAACAAUUAAUAUUACUUAAUUGCUCACUUUAUAAUUUUUUCGUCGAUUAAUAUUACUAUUAAUAUCUAACCGAAAUUCUUUAAUAACAAAUAACAAUUACUAUAGAUUAAUUGUUUGCUUAACGAUUCUUUCGUUAAUUAAGAAUCAUUAACCGCGCCACACAAAGCUUCAAUGUGUUCAUCACAAAACUCCACAUAUCCUCAAUUAUUCAGUUAUUUAAUAUAAUUGAGUUAUCUCAUUUCAAAAUAUAAAAAUCGUUUAUAUUUAAAUAAAUAUUCAUUUCCAUUAAUAUAUUUAAUUAAUAAUACGCGGAAAUUCUCGAGUAUUACAUCCCCUCCUAUAAAAAUUCCGUCCCGGAAUUGCUACAAGGUUACACAAACAGAUGGGGAUAAUCCCUCAUCAUCCUAUCUUCUAACUCCCACGUUGCCUCCUCGACAUCGUGGUUACGCCAAAACACUUUUACAGAAGAAAUGACUUUGUUUCUUAAAGUUUGCUCUUUCCUAUCUAGAAUUUGGACAGAAAUUUCUUCAUACGCUAAGUUCUUCUCCACUUGAAUGGGUUCAUAAGAAAUCACGUGCUUGUAGUCAGGCUUAUACGGACGUAACACAGAUAUGUGAAACACGUUAUGGAUGUGCUCCAACUCAGGUGGUAAUGCAACUUUGUAUGCUACUUCGCCCACUCACUUUAGUAUCUCGAACGGUCCUAUGAAUCUUGGACUCAGUUUUCCUUUCUUGCCGAAACGGAUCUUUCCCUUCCAUGGAGAUACUUUCAAGAGUACAAAACUGCCAACUUCAAAAUCUCGGUCUUGCCGAUGCAGAUCUGCGUACUUUUUUUGGCGAUCUUGAGCUGUCACUAGCCUGGCCCUUAUUAUUGUCACCACGUCUGCGGUUUGUUGCACUAACUCCGGUCUGAAUAUUCGUCGUUCUCAUACUUCGUCCCAACAUAAUGGCAUUCUGUAUUUCCUUCCGUAAAGAGCUUCAUACGGUGGCAUGCCGAUACUCGCAUGGUAACUAUUAUUAUACGCAAAUUUGACUAAGGGUAGGUGGUCGUCCCAAUUUCCCUUGAAGUCCAUCACGCAAGUCCUAAGCAUGUCCUCUAGCGUUUGUAUUGUUCUCUCACUCUGUCCAUCUGUUUGAGGAUGAUAAGCAGUACUUAACCUUAACUGUGUUCCCAUCCUCUCUUGCAAGCUUUUCCAAAAUUUUGACGUGAAGCGCAUAUCUUGGUCAGAAACAAUCGAUACCGGCACUCCAUGUCGUGAAACAAUUUCCUUUAUGUACAGACUCGCUAACUGAUUUAAACUGUAGCGGAUCUUGAUAGGUAGAAAAUGUGCGGUCUUUGUAAGUCGGUCCACGAUAACCCAAAUGGCAUCCAAACAUUUCUGUGUGACUGGAAGUCCUACCACAAAAUUCAUCGUAAUAUGCUCCCAUUUCCACUCUGGUAUUUCCAAUGGUUGUAACAAACCACUCGGCCGCUGAUGCUCUGCUUUGACUCAUUGGCACGUAAGACAUCUACUAACGUACUCCGCGAUUUCUCGUUUCAAAUUUGGCCACCAAAAAUGUUGUCUCAAGUCUCGGUACAUCUUAGUGCCUCCCGGAUGAAUGGAAUACGUUGUAUUAUGUGCCUCGUACAAAAUCUCUUCUCUUAACUCGGUUACCGCCGGUACCCACACUCUUCCUUCUAAUCUUAAGAUACCGUCUUUAUCUAUUCAAAAUUUUUCUUCCUCAUUUUCCGUGAUCCUCUUUCUGAUUUUCUCACAUUCUCCAUCUUUCUCCUGGGCUUCCUUUACUCUAUCCAACAAUGUCGAACAAGCUUCCAUUACAAAUAACUUCUCUUCACACCUCUCGGGUCCCGUCACUUCUAUUUCCAAUUUCUCCAUAUCUCUUAUUAACUCCUCCUGAGUUGUCAGUUGAAACAAUUUCUCUCUUCCUUUCCUGCUCAGAGCGUCGACAACUACGUUUGCCUUCCCCAGGUAAUAAAGAAUUUCACAGUCAUAAUCUUUGAUUAAUUCUAACCACCUCCUCUGACGCAUAUUCAACUCCUUCUGCGUGAAGAUAUAUUUCAGACAUUUGUGAUCCGUGUAUAUCUCACAUUUCUCUUCGUACAAAUAAUGUCUCCAUAUCUUUAACGCAAAAACUACUGCCGCUAACUCUAAGUCAUGAGUAGGGUAUCAUUUUUCGUAAUCCUUCAAUUGUCGUGAUGCAUACGCAAUGACUUUGCCGUGUUGCAUAAGCACACAACCAAGUCCUCUAUGCGACGCAUCACUGUACACCACAAAUCCUCCUGUAUCAUCUGGUAAUGAUAAUACAGGCGCCUCGCUUAAUCUCUUCUUCAACUCUUGAAAACUCUCUUCGUAUUUGUCGGUCCAUAAAAAUUUCACCGUCUUCCUCGUCAAAUUAGUUAACGAGGUCGCUAUCUUAGAAAAAUCUUGGAUGAAUCUUCGAUAGCACCCUGCUAACCCUAAGAAACUUCUCACCUCCUUCGGAGUUCUCUGUUGUUCCCAAUUACUUGCCGCUUCGACCUUUUCGGGGUCUAUUGAGAUUCCAUUCUCAUCCACCACGUGGCCUAAGAAUUGAACCUUCUUCAUCCAAAAUUCGCACUUAGAAAACUUCGUAUACAUCUUCUCACUACAAAAAAUGGGGCUUCAGCAACAACCAAUUUUCGUUGCUAAAGGUGCCAAAUUUCGUUGCAAAAGGGUUUUGGCAACGACUUUAAUGUCGUUGCGUCUUUCGUUGCGCAAUGAGUGUUGUUAAUUGUUCCGCAACGAACGUUUUUUUUCAUUGCCAAAAGUAAUACAUUUUGCAACGAAAUUUGACUUUUGUAUAGCCUUUAGCAACAAAAUGUAUUGUUACAGAAUAAUUAAAAUUUUGUUGCUAAAAACCCCAUUUCGUUGCAAAAGCAUGCUAAUUGGCAACGAAAUGAACUCUUUUUUUUUUGCAACGACCAUGCAUUUUCGUUGCAAUUGACACCAUUUUGCAAUGAUAUUUUUCGUUGCAGUAAAUUAUGAAAAUCGUUGCCUAAGCUUGCUUUCGUUGCGGAAUGUAAACUUUUUAGCAACGAUUUUCGUUGAUGAUUAUAUUAUUUGGCAACGAUAUUAUGUUGAAUCAGCAACGAAAAUGUUUGUUGCUGGUUAUUUUUCAAUAGCAACGAAAGUCAUCGAUUAACGACAUUAUAUGUUGUCGUUUCUUUAUAUGUGCACCAAAAGUUGAUAUGAUUUGCAACGAUAAAAAAUAUUGUCUUUUAUGUUAGUAUUAGCAACAAUAUCCUCUCCGUUGUUAUUAAAUUAAUUUUUUGUUGCCAAAUAUUAUAUUUUUAAUGCCAUUAGCAACGAAUUAUAUUAAAACUUGAUCAAUGCUUUGGUAACGAAUUAUAUUGUUGCCAAAUUAAAAUUUAACAUUCUUUUUGUAUACCUAGCUAGCUCAAUGUCCCCAUAGAAAAUAAUGACAAAAAUACAAAAAAACUAAAAUAUUAUUAACUUAAUAAAAUCAUCCACUACAUAAUCAUUCAUUAUCUUUACAAUUAACCAUCUAAAGCUACCACAAUUCUUCAAUCAAAGUAUAUAUCUACAUAUAUAGAGAGAGUACACUUCAUAAUUUCGUCCCUUGUCUUCCGUAAACGUAACACGAAAAUUCCUGUCUGCUGGAGAACUACCAAUAGUGAUGGUUGUGAUGUUAACUGGGCAAGGUAAUUGGUAUUCAUUACCAAAAUUCUUGCCAGAAUGGCUGCUGAAGAUGCUUUUAUAGCUGUUUUAGAAGGAUCAUGGCCGUCUCCCCCAAUUAAGCAUAUAACGAUCAAUUUCUAGCAAUAUCCAGCAAAAAUACAAGUCCAUAAACUGUACGUGGUAUGCAGCGGAGUCAAGUGAUGCUGACCACUUGUCACCACUGACUCACAACUAUUAUCCGUGCUGGCAAGGGUUGCCUGCAAUAGAACAAGAAGUUUUCAAACAAAAAAUAAUAGUGAUAAAAUAAUUGUAUAAUAUGCAUGUAGAGUAACUAGAGUUCAUAUGAUACUAAUCAGUUGGCUGCGGUAUAAUUGACCUUAAAACACGUAAAUCUGUGUAAUCAUGCGUUACCAUGAUGAAACAAAAUAACUGCAGUGGUUCAAGUUGGUAAACAUGUUUGUUUCUCAUUCUACGAAAUCAAAACAGAGAACUUGGUGCAAUUAGAAGGGAAAUAUAUGGAUUAGUUAUUUACAUUCUGCUUCUUUUGGCGGAAAAAGCUGUUCUCAUACACCAAGUGUGAAACUUGCUUCUGCAAUCUAUCAUUUUCCUCCAUCAACAGCUUAUUCAUCGCCGACAACUUCCUAUUGUUACACUUAAAAAAUUAAAUUUAUAACCCCUACCAGUGAAUGGACAUGUUACAUUGUGCAUGGUUGGAAACAUUGAUAAGGACUUUGUCUCCUUCCCUAACAUAAAUAGUAGGCCCUGGGAACCUCCCAUUCACAGUUACAAUUGGUUUUGCAUGGCACAACUUGCUAAUAUUUUUCACUUGAAUCUGAAAUUAUAAAAACAAAAUAUCAAUAUUAUAUAGUAUCAACUAGGAAAUAAAAAACAUAAGAUUUUAAGUAUAUGACUGCCAUAAACUCACAUCAAACUAGUAAUUCUUGGUGGCUGCCUCGGCCGAAAGGGAAAAGAACCAGAGGAAGACUAUACUACUGGAAAGGAGAGAAGCCCGCUUCGCCAUUUUUCCAGACAAAGGUUUAAUGUACUGUGUUCUUAAAAGGAUGAUAGAUAAGGCACAUAUACCAAAACUUUGGGGUAUUUAUCUUUUUUGGGGAUAAAUACUCGUGGGUGACCGAUAGCAAAAUAGUACCGUUAAGUAACUACAGCAUCAUAAAGAUUGAGUAUUCACAUCACAUCAACAUUCACAAAUAAUCUAAUUAUGUUACUAUAUUUCAGAACUAAAAAGAAACUUGGCAAAAACGAAGAUAGAGUUUACCAACUGACUUCAUCAGGUUAAAGAAACUUGCAAGAAAAUACUGAAAGAUAUUCUACAUUGUGGUCUGACAAUCAUCCAAUGAUAUAAAUAAUCAAUAACUAUGUAACAGAUAAUAUCGACAUUCAACCAAGAGAGUUUUAUCUCAUUCUUCUUGCAAUGCUCAAAUGUCACUUCCUUUACAGCAACAGACAGUUUUGCAUUUACCUUUUCCAUCUCAUCGAGCUCUUUCAUUAAUGUCUAAAAAAAGGUCAAAUGGCACACGAUCAUGAUAUCACUUCUAAGAAAACACAAAGGAGGCUGCAAAUUAAUAUUCCCCAUAGAGGAUGAAAUGAAUGUCUGCAAUAUUAUCAAAAUUGAUGUCGAGGAAAUUUUUAAAAAAAAAACAUAUGUGAACAGCACUGCAUGACUACCCCAGCCAGAGCAUUGGCUGAGAUUGUUCCUCUACUGCUUAAAUGGUGCAGGACCAUUGAGCUGUUUAUCAAGGAUGCAGAGGCACAUGCCUGUAGAACAUAUCCUGUUCAAGUUAGGAUACAUCAUCAUAAUGUGCCUCAAUAAAAAGAAAUAGGAUCAAGUAACAAGAGUCUUGGCUAGCUGAGGAAGGCACAUAAAUUAAUAAUUAUAAAUAUGUACGUUACCGUCGCCCAAAUUUAACAGAGAGCAGCACAAAUAAUAUCAAGAUGGACCCAAGCUCAGAAAUUGAUUCUGUUUUAUUUUCUUUACUUAUAUUCUUUCUAACAAAUGAAAAAUCUCCUCCCAGAUAAUACUAACUGUUUAGAGGAAAGUGAAAAUAAACAAUACUUUUCACCACCUCCUUUCCUUUUUAUUUCCAGAUUAGUUUCUCUUUGGCUGUAUCAACAUAAUGAAGGAGGUCUUCUAUUGCCUGUUUAAGUCAAUCCGUCAUUAAAAUAUCAACUCAGAUUAGAGGGGAUGUCAGGUAAAGGUAUUUCCAAAGAUAAUAUAGAUAUUAGUUGACCGAUUGCUUCUGAAAAUUUAGGUGGGUCUGCUCCUAUGUACCAAAGCAAGAUUCUUUUAUAUAAUACCGAGAAAAAUAAGUUAAGUUAAACUAUAUUUGAGCUUGUCAACCAUCAAAAUGUUUGUAACAUUUCCUUUUAAAAUAUUGAAGUUGGAAGGAAAACACAAGAAUUUGAGAUUACACAAUUAGUAACAAAUGGUCUAAUUCAAUGCAUUUGCACACUACAAGUCAUUUCAAAGCUAUUCUAUUUUAUUUUUAUAAGCCAGUAAGCCACAAUAAGACGGGUUCAAUUGUGGGAGAACAUACUAACAUUUCUCUACUAAAUGGAGCAGUAUCAAAUAAAUCUGUUAUAAAAAAGGUAAAGGUUUUCCUUACUUUCUAAAGUCAGUCAUGCACAAUGUAUUAAAUGAAAAGAGAGGGGUGCCUUGAAAUUUGUUGGAUGCACAGAUAAUUUGAUUAAGUUCGCUCAAUUUAUGCAGAGAAAUUUCAAGCUAGCAUUUGAGAAGGGUUUCUAACUACAGAAAGGCAAAGUAAACAUCAUACAGACUCAUGAACAGGUGAACACCAAAAAGUCCAACUUUGGCGUUGUUUAGACAUACAUUAAUCAAUCUGGCAGCACUUGUACUCAUAAAGCUUUAGUAAGGAAAUACACAGCACUGAAAUUCAGAGGUUGAAGCAAUCAUAUCCAAUCUUACGUUUCUCGACACUGCUUACCAAUACGUCCAGGUAGAUGUUGUGCAAUAGUAGACCCUUUUUUUGGCCCAUAGUGGUCCACCAAUUGAAUUAUUAUUUCAUCUUCCUAAACAUAUGUUACAAAAAUAAUAGCAACAAUGAAGUUAGAAUACGGAAAUGCUCAACAAAAUAGGGAAAUUUGAACAAUCAAUAAACAAUUCUUGCCUCACCUCUUUAGACCAUGGACCUUUGACGAGCUCCGGAUUUAAAACUUUCUACCACCUGUGUAAGCACUGAACAUCUGUCUAUUAUUUGAAACAAUCCGCUACACAUAGCAUGAUGUCAAUUCUAAAUAUUAAUCUUACACUGGUGUAAAGCAUUCAUGAAAUAUAGGUAGCUUCAAAACUAAUUAAGAAAAAAAUCAGAAGCAAUGGUGAUGGUUUGGUAGUGUAAGUCAUCAUUUACAGCACAAUAAUGACACAGAUAACUAAAAAAGUUUGAUUCCAAACAUAUUUUAGCUAAAAAUAACUAAAAUCCAAACUUAUAUUAGAGAACACCAAAUUCUUACCUUCUGAAAAAGGAUAAAACACAACUUUAAGAAAAUAAAAAUCAAUAAGAGAAUCACUAUGAAAUUAUUACAUUCUAAAAAAGGAUAGAACUACACUUGCCGGAUACAGAUUAAUCUAUUACAAAACCCUAACCAAAUUCUGUAAAAAAAUAUGAGGCAAUAAAUUAUAUUUCUAUCACUAAACGGUACAAUCUAAUAGGCUUCACUCUAAAAAUUCUAUGUUCGGUUUAAAUCAUAGAAGAUCAAUUACAUUUAAAGUUUACCUGCAUCUCACAUGCCUGAUAACGACUGGAACAGCAGCUGUGGCGAUAGAGGAGGCAGCGCCGCCGAGGAAUGAGAGAAAUUUGGCGUUGCCUGGCUCUUGAUCGUCCAAAAAAAAAUCCUCCAGAACCCUAAAUGUGAUGUGCACCCACAUGAUGGCCAAUUUGAUGAGUGAACAAUCAAAGGGCAGAGAUGAGAAGCGAUCGAGUGAGAAAGGGUAACGAGCGCCAAGGAGGGCAACGAGAAAAAGGAGAGAGUGGGCUGAUUGAUUGAGUGAAAAGAGAGCCGAUGUUGAUUUGAUUUGGGGGAAAAUGUUGAUAUUAAUUUGCGGUAAAAAUGGGAGGGAUUUAAGAUCGCUGCUGCAGAACUCAUCGUUGCGGCCGAGACAAGCAAAGAGGCUCGAAUCCCAAUGUGUUCUACCCAACGGCUCCCCGACCGCGCUCCCCUAACUCAACGCCGGUAAUCCAUCCGCCGUCCAGCAGUAGGUGGCUCCACCGACAACCGCGACCGGUGCAGCUGGUGGAGAAGUGGUGGUGGGAUUGAGUUCAUAUCAUCUUGAGCCGCCAUGGUUUUUCUUUUUUUCUUAGUAUGCGGCUGCUGAAAUGAGUGGGAGAGUUAGGGCAUGGACGCGAUUUGGGAAAGAAGGGAGAUUUUCGAAUUUAAAAAGAUUUUAAAUUUAAAAAGAUUUUAAAUUUUAUAUUUUUGUCAAUUAUAUUUGUUAUUAAUUAUAUAAAAAAAAAUUCUAUUAAUUAAAAAAAUAACUAAAUAACUCUUUUUAUUUUUUUUCUUUUUUAUGGCAAAUUUAUGUAAUUUAUAUUAUUAUAUUUGUAAAGAAUUAAAUAAAAAUUCAAUUGAUAUUAAUUACAAAAAAUUGAAUAUAUAUUUCAUUUAUUUUCUUAUUUUUUGACAAAUUUUUCUAAUUUAUAUUAUUAUAUUUGUAAAGAAUUAAAUAAAAAUUCAUUUGAUAUUAAUUACAAAAAUAAUUGAAUAUAUUUUUUAUUUAUUUUCUUAAUUUUUUACUAACUUUUCUAAUUUAUAUUAUUAUAUUUGUAAAUUUUUAUCCAUUUCCACAUAAUAAAAGCCACAUGGGAUUUAGUGAGUUGACUGUAAAAAAAAAAAGUUCAGUGACCCAUUUGUAAGUCGACCUAUAGUACAGUGACAUAGAAAGCAUUUAACCUGUAAGACCCCAACUUAUUAUUAAUGAAAUUUAAUUUUCUCUAUUUAUUAUUUUGAAAUAAUAAGGGUUGAUUUGAUUAAUGUGAAUAGUUAUGAGUAAAAUACGCAAAUAUUUCAAAAUAAGCAAGUGGUUAUAAAAUAUUCAUUAUUGUCGGGGAAUUUUCAUUUGGUCGAGGAAUAUUUAUACUGUCGGGGAAUAUUCGUACGACGGCGCAGCUAUGUGUGGGCCCCAUAACGGAAAGCGAUUGGAGGAAGAAAACGACAAGAAUAAGUUGUUUAAAAAUAACAGCGUAGUUGUUACCGUUAAUACUGUUAAAAUACUCGGUGGUUAGCACACAGUAUUGCACCAAUUAUUGAUUCUUACGUAAGAAGGCACUACUCAAUAAUGGUUAUAGUAAUUACUGUUCAGUAUUUUAUUUUAUUGAUUUAAUAAUUGCUGCGUUGAUAUUUUAUAUUGCUGUUGUUUCAAUAAUUGUCAUUACACAGUAUUUUUCAUUAUCGAAGCAAUAAUUCAUAUUAUCUGAAUAAUAUUAUUAGANNNNNNNNNNNNNNNNNNNNNNNNNNNNNNNNNNNNNNNNNNNNNNNNNNNNNNNNNNNNNNNNNNNNNNNNNNNNNNNNNNNNNNNNNNNNNNNNNNNNCCUGUUGAAGACUAACGAUAAUUUGUUGUAUAUUAUCUUAGUUAUAAUAUUUUUUACUGGGCUAGUUGAGCUCACCCUUUUCCUUUUUGUUCCAUUUUUCUUCUUAGGAGACGAGAAUAUAGCGAGUACAAGUCGAGGUAUGGAAUGAAGGUUCUAGAGAGAGUUGUUUAGUAGUCCUCACCAUUUUUGUAAAAUAAUGUAUCAAUAAAUGUGAUGAAG
rnacentral:lncRNA from 1 species